rnacentral:misc_RNA from 1 species
GUAGGUGAACCUGCGGAAGGAUCAUUACCAAUCCAAAACACAAACAACUGUGGACUAUAAUCGUAUUUAGGGUUAAAAUAAUUAGUGCUUCGGCUCUUUAUAUUUUAGCCCGAGUUAAUUAAACUACUUGUAAUUUUUUUUACACUUACUUAAAGUCAGUUUUCUGUCUAUAAGUUAAACUAAAAGUUAAUACAACUUUUAGCGGUGGAUCUCUUGGCUCAU